GAUGAACGCUGGCGGCGUGCUUAACACAUGCAAGUCGAACGAAGCACUUUAUUUGAUUUCCUUCGGGACUGAUUAUUUUGUGACUGAGUGGCGGACGGGUGAGUAACGCGUGGGUAACCUGCCUUGUACAGGGGGAUAACAGUUGGAAACGGCUGCUAAUACCACAUAAGCGCACAGCAUCGCAUGAUGCAGUGUGAAAAACUCCGGUGGUAUAAGAUGGACCCGCGUUGGAUUAGCUAGUUGGUGAGGUAACGGCCCACCAAGGCGACGAUCCAUAGCCGACCUGAGAGGGUGACCGGCCACAUUGGGACUGAGACACGGCCCAAACUCCUACGGGAGGCAGCAGUGGGGAAUAUUGCACAAUGGGCGAAAGCCUGAUGCAGCGACGCCGCGUGAGCGAAGAAGUAUUUCGGUAUGUAAAGCUCUAUCAGCAGGGAAGAUAAUGACGGUACCUGACUAAGAAGCACCGGCUAAAUACGUG
rnacentral:rRNA from 1 species